UGUAUUUUUGGCAGCCAAUUACAGGAGUGACUAUAAAAAAUGGUUUGUUAUUUCCUAUAAGCGCUUUAACUACUUGACGUGAUUCGCAGCUAUUGGUGUCGGUUCUUGUUGGAAAAACCAAACCAGAGCAAUUGGUAUUUGCCUGGUUAAAUUGGAGUUGUGGAUUUUGAAAGAGAGGAAGAAAAGAUAACGAUAAUGCUUUUAAGUUCAAUCAAACAUGUAUCGAAAUCCAGCCAAAUUCUCCUUAUGAAAAAUCGAAACGGUAAUUCAUACUCCUAUUCUUAUUUGUUUCUCUCCCAAUCUCUCAACCAGUCCUUAUCAGCCCAUCGUCUCAAUGUAAGCGCCAAGGACGUGGUGUCUUCUUUCAAGAACUGGUUCAAGGCCAGUAACACCGCUCUCCUUGAUCGCAUCUUCAGCGUCCUAAACUCCCAAGAUCAAGCCGCCUCAGAUGAUGCAUCUACCAGGCAUGCCGCUGACCUUGCUCUCUCCCACCUCAACCUCCGCCUCUCCGAGGCCUUUGUCCUGGAGGUUCUCUCCUACGGCCGCUCCUCCUCCAAAGACGUUCUUUCAUGCCUCAAGUUCUUCGACUGGGCUGGCCGCCAACCCGGAUUUCACCACACCCAAGCCACCUUCUAUGCCAUCUUCAAGAUUCUUUCGAAAGCGAAGCUCAUGUCUUUGAUGCUUGAGUUCUUGCGGGAUUUUAUGGCGCAUAGUUACAUUCAGAAGGUUAGAUUUCACGACACUUUAGUUAUGGGCUAUGCUCUUGCAGGGAAACCUGGGAUGGCACUCCAGCUGUUCGGCAGAAUGCGCUUCCAGGGUCUUGACUUGGAUGCCUUCGCAUAUCACGUUUUUUUGAAUGCUCUUGUAGAGGAGAGCUGCUUUGACGCGGUUGACAUGAUAGCUAAGCAGAUUUCUUUGAGGGGUUUGGAGAAUGACAUCACCCACUCCAUCUUGGUGAAGUACUGGUGCAAGCAGAAUAACUUGGAUGAGGCGGAGGCCUAUUUGCGUCGUUUGGUGGAGAGCAGGAAGCAUUUUGUUGGGCAUGCCGUGAGUAUUAUUGUGGAUGCACUUUGCAAGCGUAAGAGAUUCAAGCAUGCCGCCACCUUGUUGUACGAGUUUACGGAACUUAAUGUGCCAACGGAGCAUGCUUAUGGGAUCUGGCUUCAAAAUCAUGUACAACAAGGAAGGUUAAAUGAAGCUUUGCAGUUGGUCGAUAGCAAGAAAUUAUUAGAUGGGAAUGUUCCGCGCCUGUUUCGAUACAACAUUUUGGUGUUAAGACUAUUAAGAGAGAACCGGCUCAAGGAUGUUUGUGAUUUGUUAAUUGAAAUGGAGAAAGAUGGGAUUUUGCCUGAUAAGGUGGCCAUGAAUGCCAUUUUGUGUUUCUUUUGUAAGGCUGGGAUGGCUGAUGUUGCCAUUGAGUUGUAUAACUCAAGGUCAGAAUUUGGACUCUCGCUUAAUAGCGUGGCUUAUAACUUUUUGAUCAAUCUCUUAUGUUGGAAUGGAGAUAUUCAGGAAGCUUACCAUGUGUUAAGAAAUUCAAUCGAUGAAGGUUAUUUCCCUGGUCAAAAGACCUUCACUAUUCUUGCAGAUGCCUUGUGCAGAGAGGGAAAACUUGACAAGAUUAAGGAGCUGCUGGUUUUUGCCCUGGAGCGGAAGUUGCGUCCUAGCUAUUCUGUAUGUGACAUGUUUAUUGCUGCUCUGUGUAAAGCAAAUAGGGUUGAAGAUGGUUAUUUAAUACAUGGUGAACUUAGUAGAAUGACAAAAAUUACAUCAUGGAAUACUUACUUUCACUUGAUUCAUGGUUUUAGCAAGUCUAAUAGGGGAGAUAUUGCUGCAACACUUCUGCUUGAAAUGCAGGAGAAGGGUCAUAGACCGACUAAAAGAAUUUUUAGAACUGUUAUCUGUUGCCUCUGUGGUACACAAAGUCCGGAAAACCAAUUCUUCAAAUUCCUGGAGAUGCAGUUGUCUCAUUUUAAACCUAGCUCUCAUAUUUUUCACUUCUUCAUUGAUGGAGCAGGUCAUGCCAAAAAGCCUGAACUAGCUAGAGAAGUGUAUGAGAUUAUGCAAAGAAGCGGGAUUGAGCCCAAUCAGAGGUCCAACAGUCUUGUGUUGUAUAGUUACCUAAAGAAUGACAGAAUAUCUGAUGCUAUAAACUUCUUUGGUGAUGUACGCCAGAGAAGAAGUAUAGGGAGAAAUUUCUAUAGUUCCAUGAUUAUUGGUCUUUGCAAAGCCAACAAGGCAGAUUAUGCAUUGAAUUUCAUGAGGGAAAUGAGGGAUAAUAAUUUAUUCCCAAGUACGGCAUGUUAUGAAUAUCUUAUACAGCUGCUGUGCUGGAAGAAAAGCUAUGGUUUGGUUGUAGAACUUGUUAAUGACUUGGAGAAAACUAGGGGUAAAGUUACAUCUUUUAUUGGUAACAUACUUUUGUUAAAUUCUUUUAAGAGUAAAAAGCUGUAUGAGGCCUGGAUUCAAUUGAUAAAAGUGCAAGAUGAGACAACAUCAGAUAUUUCGUUGCUUGGCCAACUCAUUGGAAUGUUUUCUGGCUGUGUCGAAGUGAACCAAGAUAUAGAGAGCCUGGUAGAAAUGAUUGAACAAUGUUUCCCACUUGACAUCUACACAUACAAUGUGUUAUUGACGAAACUAAGUGUAAGCAACGUGGGCCAUGGUUUUGAGAUGUAUGAUUGGAUAUGCCAGAAGGGCUAUGUGCCAAAUCAGUGGACUUAUGAGAUCAUAAUACGUGCUCUCCUCAGAAAAGGGAGGAGAGCUGAGGCUCACGGAUGGGUAGAGGAGAUGUUUAGGAAAGGGUUUGAUCCAACGGCGUUUCCCAAACUGUUAGUCUAACAGUUUGUUGAUAAAACCACAGCCCAGGAUUUCAUUACAAAUAAGAGAAUUGCUACAGGCAAAAAACUAGGCAUUAUGUCCCCACGUAGCAGGUUCUAGAGUUAUGUAGAUACAGCAAAAGGUGGCAGCAAUCUUUGCUAGAAAUCAACGCUUAGUGAAGCUUGCUUCUGCCGAGAUUCCUAAUGAAAGGGUGUAGAGAGCAAGGGAAGGAUAGCCUCCAUCUGGACUAUAUCAAGUUAAUAUUUGGAGUGAAAUUUUCAGGUAAGGAUACCUUUUAAGUUUUAUUUCUACCAAAAGAUGCAUGGUUUUUAGAGGAGACUCCAAGUUCAAUCUAUUGCUGCAUCUGUUUUCAAUAAAAAGAGGCAAUAUGAGAGCUGGGGAAGUGUGAUGUCUUACUGGUUAGACUGUUUCUUAUAAAAGUUUGCCUUCUUCAGCAUCUUCUAGCUACAAAACCUACUUACUACCAGUGUUAGUGACCAGCUGGUGUGAAACUAUUUCACAUAUACCAUUUCUUGAAGGUGUUUUUGCACCAUCAUCUUUUUGCUGAUCAGAUCCGACAAAAACAAAAACAAAAAAAUAUUUAUUCAUUCUAAGUAUCUGCGCCUUAGGCAUUUUUCUAUUCCUCAUUUUCUAGAUCUUUCAAUCUCAUAUUCUUCAUAUGAAGAGUGUUAAACCACCGGCUGCAAAUGCUUCUACUUUGUUAUGGUGAAUUACUUUCUCAUUUAAUGUUUGUUUAUGUGAGUGAAGCUCCUCUAAAGAUCUUUCUUCGUCCAAUACUUGUGCUAAGACAUUUGUUGUCAUUUUAUGUCAUUUUUUGAGAGCAUGUAUUGGAUGAACAUGGCCAUGGAGUAACUCAAGAAAAUCCUGUAAAUUACUACUUUCUAUUUCUAAACUUUAAUUUUAUUCACCUUCUACUUUUGGUUCCUCAACUUUUUUUUUGGAGGUACAG